rnacentral:rRNA from 1 species
UACGUAGGGGGCAAGCGUUGUCCGGAAUCAUUGGGCGUAAAGAGCGUGUAGGCGGCCCGAUUAGUCCGCUGUGAAAGUCCAGGGCUCAACCCUGGAAUGCCGGUGGAUACUGUCGGGCUAGAAUCCGGAAGAGGCGAGUGGAAUUCCUGGUGUAGCGGUGAAAUGCGCAUAUAUCGGGAGGAACACCAAUGGCGAAGGCAGCUCGCUGGGACGGAACUGACGCUAAGGCGCGAAAGCGUGGGGAGCGAACAGG